ensembl:snoRNA SNORA70 Small nucleolar RNA SNORA70
UUGUAGAGAUAGGGUCUCAUUCUUUUCCUUGUGGGGUCCCAGUGUGCAAUGGCUGCAAACAGCAGCUUCCUUGGUAGUGUAUGCAGCCUGUUUCUUGUAUGGGUUGCUCUAAGGGACCUUGGAGACAGGC